rnacentral:rRNA from 1 species
ACAGAGGGUGCGAGCGUUGUCCGGAAUCACUGGGCGUAAAGGGCGCGUAGGCGGCUGGGUAAGCGUGUGGUGAAAGCCCGGGGCUCAACCCCGGGUCGGCCAUGCGAACUGUCCAGCUGGAGCACGGUAGAGGCACAUGGAAUUCCGGGUGUAGCGGUGGAAUGCGUAGAGAUCCGGAAGAACACCGGUGGCGAAGGCGGUGUGCUGGGCCGUGGCUGACGCUGAGGCGCGACAGCGUGGGGAGCAAACAG